AACAACAAUUCAUAUUUUUAUUUUCAAAAUCAUUAUUUGUAAUAUUCUACUGCUUAUACAUAUUUAUUUUUUUAAUAGUUUUUUAUCAAUCAUGAUACAACUCUACACAAGAGGCAAAUUGCUUAUGACGUAGAAGUUAUCAUCUAAAGGCAACCGUAUGGCCUUCAACAAUGAGAAAAAACUAGCACCGUAAAGCAAGCUUGUUUUUUUCUGAAAUAGAAGUGAUUAAUUCGCAUGGUUUUGUAAUUGCAAAAUUUCUGAAUUGACAAAAAUGUGAAGUCACAGUUUGUUUUGUUAUUGUUUGCAUUCAAAUUUUACUGGUUUUGUGGUUUUAGUUAUCCUGUUUAAAAAAAGGGAUUACAUAUUUGAACAUAAAGAUCUUGCUUGUUUUCUAAAAUUUCAUUUACAGUGAGGAACUGAUUGGUGGCUGGUCAACCUCUGCUGGUCAACUUCUGCUGGUCAACCUCUGCUGGUUAACCUCUGCUGGUCAACGAAAACAUAUAAAAGUAUUCGUUUGCAGAAAACUCACUUUUAAGGGAGCUACCAUUUGAUUUUUAUGGGGGGG
rnacentral:lncRNA from 1 species